GACCGCCGCCAAGCGCCGCGGAGCGGGCCGGGGCCGCCGCGGGGGAGGCGGCCGGAGCGGGCCGAGCCGCCGCGCCCGCUCCAUGGAGGCCGCGGCCGAGGCCCCGGGGGGGUCCGCGGCGCUCAGCUGCUUCUCCUACAACCAGGACUGCACCUCCCUGGCAAUUGGAACUACAACUGGAUACAGGCUUUUCUCCUUAAGUUCUGUGGAGCAACUGGACCAGGUCCAUGAAAGCAAUGAAAUCCCAGAUGUUUACAUUGUGGAGCGUCUGUUCUCCAGCAGCCUUGUGGUUGUGGUCAGUCAUGCCAAGCCACAGCAAAUGAAUGUCUACCACUUCAAGAAAGGGACAGAGAUCUGCAACUAUAGCUAUUCCAGUAACAUACUGUCCAUCCGGCUGAAUCGUCAGAGGCUGGUUGUUUGCCUGGAGGAGUCAAUUUACAUCCAUAACAUUAAGGACAUGAAGCUUUUGAAGACUAUUCUGGAUACGCCUCCAAAUACAACAGGUCUGUGCGCUCUCUCGAUCAACCACGCCAACUCCUACUUGGCUUAUCCCGGCAGCGCGACCAGCGGAGAGAUCGCGCUUUACGACGGAAAUACUUUGAAAACAGCUUGCACGAUUCCUGCCCAUGACGGGCCUCUGGCUGCUCUUGCCUUCAACUCCACCGGCUCGAAGCUGGCAAGUGCUUCCGAAAAAGGCACAGUCAUUCGUGUAUUUUCCAUUCCUGGGGGGCAAAAGCUCUAUGAAUUCCGGCGCGGGAUGAAAAGGUAUGUGAACAUCAGCUCUCUAGUGUUCAGCAUGGAUUCCCAGUUCCUCUGUGCUUCCAGCAACACGGAGACCGUGCACAUCUUUAAACUGGAGCAUCUCACUGACAGCCGGCCAGAAGAGCCUCCAACCUGGAGCGGUUACAUGGGAAAGAUGUUCCAGGCUGCUACCAACUACCUCCCUGCUCAGGUAUCAGGCAUGAUGAACCAGGAUCGAGCCUUUGCCACUGUCCGCCUGAACAUCUCUGGACAAAGGAACAUCUGUGCCCUCUCCACGAUUCAGAAGCUGCCUCGACUGUUGGUGACUACGUCAGAUGGACAUCUCUAUAUCUAUAACCUGGACCCACAAGAUGGAGGGGAGUGUGUCUUAAUUAAGAAACACAGUCUGCUUGGCUCAGGAAAGAUGGAGGAGAACACAGAAAACGACCUUCGGCCUCCAUUACCUCAAUCUUAUGCAGCAACUGUAGCCAGACAAAGUACAGUGCCUUCAACUUCGACCAUGCCGGGUUAUUCAGAGGACGGUGGUGCCCUGCGAGGAGAGGUUAUCCCAGAGCAUGAGUUUGCAACUGGACCAGUGUGUCUUGAUGACGAGAAUGAGUUUCCUCCUGUGAGCAUUCGGGACCCCUAAAACUGCAGUUCAGCCCUCAUGCCAAGAAGAAAGUAUUAACUUCUCACAGAAGAGAUACUGUUGCCCCCACCUUGUCCCAGCUCACUGUGAAGCCUAAAAUAACUAAUUAAGUUAUAGGGACAGUGCCAGGAAAAGUACACCCCCACUAAAUGGCAGCUAGGGAUGGGGCAAAGAGGAUCAAACCUAGUAAUUUGAGAUGGAUCUGAACAAACUAUUUGAAUGAAGUGCAGAUGCAGCAUGACGUUCAGAUCCAGAUCUGACCUUUGUGCCUUGCGCAGAUUUCUAGCAUUACCAGGAAUAGCUUUAACUUGAACAAUACCAUCACAUAGAAAUAAAAAUGUAAUACUUCCUGUUGCAUUUAUAGUCAGUUGUAUUAGUUUAUGGAAUGCAACUGGCACAUACCUGAACCUCACCAGUCUCUUCAUUUCCAAGCUAACUGAAAAGAAAACUCCUUUUCCAUGUACAAAGAUGAAAAGCAUAACAGUUUUAAACCAUUUUAUGAUUUUUAUGUGGCACUUUCUCAGUUACCGUUGGAAGAAGACGCUGGCUUUUUAAAUCUAACUUAAGCCUGGCAGUGUCUCUCCUGCUCCUCUUGCUAUUACACACGCAUUUAUUAUGUUAAGUAUCUAACCCCUAAAUGGACAGAUGUUGGUACUGUGCUAUGAUCUGGUUGUAAUCAGUGGUGUCUUCGUAAUAGUAAUGCAUUAAUACAGCAGAAUAUUGUAAUGGAUUUCAAGUUGUAGACUUGGCAGAGUUUUGAAUCCCUUACUCAGUUUUUACAUAUCCUGCUGUUGGAGUUUUGCCUGAAAGGGAGGAAGUAAAAACUUUUAUCAGGAUCCCAGGAUUUGUUCCAUAUGCUGAGGCUGACCUCUGUGAGGCAUUUUCCUAUUAACUGAUGCAAAGUGUUAUUUGGAUAAAAGACGACUAGCUCAUGACUCCCUUUGAAACAACACUGCCUAAAUCCAACUCAAGCUGCAUAAACCUUAGACCAAUUCUCUUUUGUUACCUUUAACAUAACGUGCUGCAAACUGAGAACAAGAGUUUUCUAGUUGUCCGACUCCGUUACCCAAGAAGGAUAUUUAAAAUGUCCCUCCUCUGGUCAAAGUCGUGUGGCCGCGUAGAAGCUGGUGGCCCAGGCCCCUGGAAGGAGCAGCAGGGCCAGAGAGAAAUCCUUUGCUUCCUUCUGAUGAACCUGCUCUUGAACAUGUGGUUUGGGGACAAGCAAAUGCCAGCAAGCAGGAAUCACGCUGCUCCUGAAUAAGCCUUCCUGCUGGGACCAUGCCGUAUAAAAGCAGCUCCAAACCCCUGCUGUACAACAGCAGGCGCUUUAUUAAAUGAACUUUGAUCUGUCAAAAUCCUGUGCUGUAAUUAACCUGACAGGGCAACUUACAUGUGUAACGUUAGGGAGGAGGUGGUGUGGGAGGGAAGGCGCUUUCCAAAAAUACUCCCUGAUAAGGUGGCUUAGCAAUUGGAGCUUCCAGAUAAAGUCUCUGCAGCUAGGACGUCGGUUUUGCCCCUCUGUUGCUGACAGUAAUGUGUUUUGCAUCUGGUCUACCAGCUAGUGCGGCGCUGGCUCCUGCUGCGUUAGUGCGUACAGAGAGUUGGUCGGGAUGUUUUGAUGCUCUGAAUUUCACUGAACUUCGCUGUUUUCUCAGCACUGAGAUGUUCAGUCUGAGUGACGCAUUCAAGGGGGGUUUCAGGCAUCGGUCACUUCUGUGCGGAGAAGGAGGGAGAGAAAACCUGACCUUAUCCAACAAAAAUGUUUUGACAGCAUUCUGCUUUGCGGAAACAUGGGAAGGGUUUUGUUUGUUUUCCAGUGUGCAACAAAAAGACCUUUAAAAACCUCAAAACUUGUGACAAAAUGGAAUAUUCACCCACAGCCCACGCCACGAGUAUGGCUUUGAACUUAGACAUACUUUUGGAGAAACAGCAGUGCUCAGACCCAGCAGUUCCUCUCCAUUUUGAAACAUCUUGCCUUCCCCUGACCUCAAGCAAGACUUCAGAGGCUCAGCUGUUAAGAGCGAGGAAAAGCAGCUUCAGUCUAACAUAAAAUCUGUUGCUGACUGUCGAAAACUGCCUGUUCAUUAAACAGAAGGAGGGACAGAUCAGAGAAGAGAAGAGAAGCCCAAGGAGGGCUCAUAAAAAAUGGCCUCAACAAGAGCGAACGUGGAUGUUGCUACUGAUUGUGCCAGGACUGCUGAAGGAUCCUGCGGCAAGAGGUUAAACAAGUGCAGUUACGUCUCUUGCUUGCAUUGAUGGGGUGGAUUAAGUGCUUUCAGGUCUGCUGUUGAUCUUACGCAGAAAGGACGCGGGUGUUAUUGAGAUGGACAGCGGGCUAAAGCCUCAGGUGAGGAGGUGGUGCCGUGCUGGAGAGGUGCUGGGAGGAGGCUGCGUCGCCCUUGCUCUGCACGGUCAGAAGGCUUUGUGGGAUGGGAAGAGCAAACCCAGCUCUGGCUGUAAAUGAUUGCGGCGAUUACGGCUGUUUUCUGGUUACCUGCCUGAGCAGCUGCCACUUUUCUGUGGGUUUAUCGGUGCCGGUGAGGUAUCCAGCAGUGUUGGGAGCCGUUGGUGUGUGCUUCGGGUCAGGCAGGGCACUGCUUGGCCAGCUCCACUUUCGGGAGCCACCGUAGUGGCUCUCCCCACCCAAGGCACGGUCAGAACAGUUUUGGGGUAGUGCUGUGAGGUUUGACAAAAGAAAUCCUACAGGAUUCAGCAAGCAAGAUGGCCUGUGUGGACCUGAGGAAUGCAACCAGGGGAUGAUAUUAAAACUUCUGGGAUUUGGUAGGAAAGGUGAUUUCUUCAAGCAGAUUGCUCGAUGCUUUUGCAGGCAUACGUGAUCCGUCCUGCAUUUGGCUGCACACUGAAGCUUGUCAUCUUCGGGACCAGAGUUGAUGUGAAGACUUUAUCGGGAGAGCCAUUUCAUUAAGUCAGGCUAGAUUGCAUACAGCGGUCAGCUCUUCAAAGACAGCUUCCCCUCACCGAUACACAGGUAGUCUUUAAAAAACAUCCUUCCACAUCGAUUUUUGGCUACCUCCAAAACUGUUGGGGCAGCCUGCCUGUGCUGCAAAAGGAUGCUGCUGCCUGUGGCGCCUGCCUGCAGCGUUGGUUACAGGGUGCAUAGGGCAGAACGAAAACUCCUCCUCGCUGCAGCUCCCACUCCUGCCUGCUCCCUGGAAGGACGAGCAGGAGCAGGAGCUCCAGCAACCCGUGCACCACGGCCGCCCUCGACGGCACGACAUCCCCACCCUGGCAGCGCUGCUGUCUGCAGGGGGGAGAAAUGUGUGCGUGGGGUCCGCACACAUCCCCGCUGCUCCAAACCACGGAUCUUAAUACAAGCAACAGGGUUGCAGAUGAAUCUUCAGCUCCGUGGGACCGGUAUUUGCCCAAGUUCCUCCUCACUGUCUGCUGGAUGGUGUUUCACUCGUUCUGUUGCGCGGAUAUGCGACACUAAUGAUUUUUAAGUGAUUUUUUUUUUUUUUUUAACAGCUGGCUGUUAGCAGAGGAAAGGCCUUAGAUUUUGCAGUGAAGCUCUACUAAUAAUCAUGUUUCACGGGGGAUGAGCAAGUUUGGCAGAACCUGACCGGCCUCUUCUUCCACACAGCAGCUCCUGCCCUGGUAGCUCAGACAGGCAUUUUGGGCAGCUGGGGCUUGCAGGAUUAAGCCCAGCUUAUCAGUACAUUAUCUGAGGUCCCUUGGGAAACAUGCAAUCCAGGGCCAAUGUUUUGUGCUUCAAAACUGGGCAAGCGAUGGUUCUGAAGCCCAUGGAGAGACGGCUCCCAGGAGGAGGAGCUGGCACAGACCCUCCUGCAGCUGGGGCUGUGGGAAUCGCAUCCGAAAUGCUGGGAGACGCAGGUCACGUCUAGCAAGGCUGGAGCUGAUAAAGGGGAGGGCUGUGUCUUGGCUCACGAUAAUCUUGUGCCGUGGAGGUCAGCCGGGCAAAGCGAAGAGGUCAUGAUGAGAAGCAAACAUCCGCGCUUAGGACAGCUGCUGGGAAGUGCUUUGGAAAAGCCAGGAAUUUCGAAGAACAGAUUUGUGAGUCCCCAAGACGAGAAAAAAAAAAAAAAUCCAAGGUGGGCCACUGCUUUUUCCUACAGUAUGUUUAAGUGAAUACCUGGCCCCGCUAGCCCCUUGUUUUAAUCCGUGUCUGGGUGGGGUGUCAAUGUACUGUAUGCACAUCGCUAUAUUUAACAAACUAUAUGUUAGAACCACAAUGUAAAUGCUAAUUUAAUCAGAUUUGUAUGUAACCAGAAUUUUAUAUACCCGUUUUACCCUUUUCUAAUUUAUGCUGGUUUAUGUGUAUAAAUGUACUUAUAGGAAGAUAUAUUAAACUUAUGUCUUUGUACAGUAUAUACAUACUAUUUUACCCAGGCAAAGUAUUUUUGCAGUGAUAUUAGAGAAGAUGCCAUUUGCUAUGUUUAAAGACAGAAUAAAGUCACGGUCUGUCCCUGGCAGCUC